rnacentral:lncRNA from 1 species
AAUAUGUAAUGUCAGUCUGCUAAAACUCUCUCAAGAAGAUGAAGCAGAUCUAAAUAACCCCGAAGGAAGUAGUUGGAUGGAUUGAAGGAAGGAAGGAGGAAGAGAGAGAGAAGCUUCCCUUAGCUCCAAUUCUUCGAACUCUUCUUCUUCCUCCUCGUAUUCGAUUCCUUCCUUAAUUCGAAUCAUCCCUUCCUUCAAAACUGUAUAUAUAAAUGUCUAUAUAUGCAUCGUCAAAUGUAUAUAAUAUUUGUUUAUCGGUUAUCGUGAUUUACCCAGUUUUACUCAUUUUUUAUUAAAUUUUCGUGAUAUAACUUUGUUAAGUAGAAAGAAAUAAUUGUGUUCAACCAUUUGUGAUGAUGGCAAAACACACAUAUAUGUAUACACACUCAAAAACAAAUCCGAAAGGCUCCUAAUGUAGAUACAAGCAAAGCUAAAAGGAUUUCUUCAAAAAUCAUUUAUGUAAAUAAAAAAAUCAACAGAUUAUGUAAGGUAUAACAUAACCAUCAUAUGUGAUAAUUUCUCUUGGGCCAAAAAAAGUGUGACUCCUUCACGGAUAUAUUUUGGCUCAAUCUCUCAGCUCUAAUACCUUACAUACCAUUCAUCAAAACCAGCUUACUACUUGAUCAAGAGCUUAUAAUAAAGCUUAUAUUGAAUAAGACAACUUUUUCUUGAUAAAUGACCUUUCUGCCUAACAGACUGAGGGAUUUAAUUCGGUACGUUUACAAUAAAAUUAAUAAUCUUUAUGUCAGAAUAAUAUUUUUUUGAUGCUAUGUGGCCAGAAAUUUUAAAAGCUUUAGUUGCUGCAAGCAUUAUUAUAGCUUUCUUUUUGUUUCAUCCUCUCUCUCCAUUUAUGUACAUAAUUAAUUUAUUAAACGCAAAAAAAAUUACACAUCAAUAAUCAUUAUUUCAGAGUGAGAUUUUUUUAAAUCUUUAAAAAAAAAAAUAAUUCAUGAAUUAACUAUUACCCGAUCUUUCAUAAUUCAUUGGCAGCUAGACAAAUAUUACUUCUUCAUUAAAAAAAAUAUGUUGAAUUAUCUAUGUGAGUUAAACUCCUUCUUUGGAAAUGUCAUUUUUUUUUCUUGAUUUUUAUUCUUUCUCUUUUAUACCAUAAAUGGUUCAUCGAUAGUACAAAUAUAUCUUAUAUAUUAUAAUAAUAACAAAUAUAAUCAUAUAAAAUGAUAGUUAUAAAACACUCUUUCAUUGAACAAAUAAAUAUUUAACCCUUUUUGUGAUACGAUUUUUUUUCUGAAAUUUUUUUAGCAAAAAAAAAAAAAAAACAAACAAAAAAAAAUCUAUAUAUAUAAUUUUUUAAUAAAAAAUGAGUGUUAUAUUUUUGAUAUUAUGAAUUUGUCUUUCUGUAGAUGAAAAAAAAAUUAUUUUUUUUCACUACUCAUCUCAAAAAACGUCUUUGAAAAACUAAAAAAUCUUUUUUUUUUUUGCGUUAUGCGAGAAUCAUUCACGAGUCGAUUUUUUAUUCAUAUUAUAUUAUAAUUAUUAUAUUCCCUUGUUUGCGAAAAAAAGAUAUAUAUGCAAAAAAAAAAAAAAAAGCGCUUUUUCAAUUUUAAUAUAUACUUUAUAUAUAUCUCCAUAUAUUUUUCUGUUUACCAUACGUCUUUCUCCUUGACAUGACCUUUCCUUUUUUAUAAGAAAAUCAUGAUUCAAUGUCAAUUGUUUUUUUCGAAAAAGUUUUUUUGUACAACACUGUUGGUCUUCAAAAUUUGACUUCCAUGUGGGAUGACUCAACAAACAUAUACAAAUCCCUUGGAAUUUGUGUUUCUUUUAAUCUGACACAUGACACAAGGUAAACCAAUUUUCUUUUCCCUAUGAAUUUCUAAUGUUUCAAUUUUUUUUUUCAAAAUUUUUUUCUAUAAAAAAAUUAAACGGAAUGCACCACAGUACAAUCAUAGAACAAAACAAAGAUUAGUGUGGAGGAAUCUUAUAAUCAUUUUAUUUAUACACAAAAUCUAGUAUUUUUAUAUAAGAAAAAAAAUUACAAAUAUUUUUAGGCAAUGUGACCUAAAAAAAAAGAGUUAAUACAUAAAUGAUGGAUUCCUCAUAAUUUUUUUUUGUUUUCUAAUUAAACAUCAUGUCUUUCUUUUUUUUUCUUCCUGUUAUAGGCAGCUUCUUAAAAAAAAAUAUUUGUUACAAUAUCUAUCUGUUCUCUCGUGCAUGGAAAACGCAUAAAUAAUUUUUUUCUUUUUAUAUACUUAUAUAUUUUCCUUUUUUUUAAUUUAAGAAAACAAUCUUUCCUUUACCAACUUCAACCUUCCCUUUAUAAAACCAAACCCACAAAAAAAUCAUAUAUUUAAUUAAAUUUCCACUAUAUAUUUUUGUAACAAAAAAAAAUAAUUUUAAUUGAAAAUACAUAAAAAUUUAACUCUUAAGAAAAUCUUACUCUGAAUCAUUAUUUAUUAUUUUUGUACCUGUGACAAUUCAAACAUAUAUACAUUCAGAAUUUAGUUUUAAAUAUUCCAAAAUUACAAUGUCGUGUUUGUAUUUUAAUUUUUGCUUACAUCUAUAUAUAUUUUGCUUGUUAUUUUAUGAUAUAUAUUAAUUAAUUAAUUGUAUUCCUUAUGAUAUUGUUGUGUAAUUUAUUUAAUUAAAUAUGCGUUUACUUUAAUUCAAUUUUAUUUUAACACUAUAUUUUGAUUUGUUAAAUUGUAUAAAAUGACUUAUUAGUUAAUAAAGAAUACGUGUCAUUUGAUAAAA